rnacentral:rRNA from 1 species
UACGAAGGGGGCUAGCGUUGUUCGGAAUUAUUGGGCGUAAAGAGCGUGUAGGCGGUCCGGUAAGUCAGCUGUGAAAGUCAAGGGCUCAACCCUUGAAUGCCGGUUGAUACUGUCGGGCUAGAGUCCGGAAGAGGCGAGUGGAAUUCCUGGUGUAGCGGUGGAAUGCGCAGAUAUCAGGAGGAACACCAAUAGCGAAGGCAGCUCGCUGGGACGGUACUGACACUAAGGCGCGAAAGCGUGGGGAGCGAACGAGG